rnacentral:lncRNA from 1 species
GGGUGUUUAUCUUUGUUUUUAUACGACUAAUGUAUCCAAGGAGAAGGGUGUUAAUCUUUGUUUUUAUACGACUAAUGUAUCCAAGGAGAAGGGUGUUUAUCUUGUUUUAUAGACUAGUGUAGCCAAGGAGAAGGGUUUACUUUGUUUUUAUACGACUAAUGCAUCCAAGAGAAGGGUUUUAUCUUUUUUAUACGACUAGUGGUAUCCAAGGAGAAGGGUGUUAUCUUUGUUUUUAUACGACUAAUUAUCAAGGAGAAGGGUGUUUAUCUUUGUUUUAUUAUAAUGUAUCAAGUAUCCGUUGUCUUUUUUUCUUUAUAACGACCAACGUUUAUCCAAGGAGAAGGGUGUUAUCUUUGUUUUUAUACGACUAGUGUAUCCAAGGAGUAUAGACUAGUUAUCUAUUUUUUAUACACUAAUGUAUCCAAGAGAAGGGUGUUUAUCUUUGUUUUUAACGACUAGUGUAUCAAGGAGAAGGUGUUAUCUUUGUUUUUAUAAUAAUGUAUCCAAGUUGUCUUUUAUACGACUAAUGUAUCCAAGGAGAAGGGUGUUUAUCUUUGUUUUUUUACGACUAGUGAUCCAAGGAGAGGGUGUUUAUCUUUGUUUUACGCGUGUAUCCAAGGGAAGGUUUUUCUUUGUUUUUAUAUCGACUAAUUGUAUCCAAGGAGAAGGUUGUUUAUCUGUUUUUAUAAUGUAUCCAAGUGUCUUUGUUUUUAUCGUAAUGUUCAAGAGAGGGUGUUUAUCUUUGUUUUAUACGACUAAAUGUAUCAAGGAGAAGGUGUUAAUCUUUGUUUUUACGACUAGUGAUCCAGGAAGGUGUUUAUCUUUGUUUUUAUACGACUAAUGUAUCCAAGGAGAAGGGUGUUUAUCUUUGUUUUUAUAAUGUAUCCAAGGUUGUCUUUGUUUUUAUACGACUAAUGUAUCCAAGGAGAAGGGUGUCUAUCUUUGUUUUUAUACGACUAAUGUAUCCAAGGAGAAGGGUUUCUAUCUUUGUU